rnacentral:rRNA from 1 species
CGAAACCUGGCGCCGUGCUUAACACAUGCAAGUCGAACGGAAAGGGCCCACCUUGGUGGGGGUGCUCGAGUGGCGAACGGGUGAGUAACACGUGGGUGAUCUGCCCUGUACUUCGGGAUAAGCUUGGGAAACUGGGUCUAAUACCGGAUAGUACCAUGGUUUAGUGUCUCAUGGUGGAAAGAUUAUUGUUUUGGUGCAGGAUGAGCUCGCGGCCUAUCAGCUUGUUGGUGGGCUAAUGGCCUACCAAGGCGUCGACGGGUAGCCGGCCUGAGAGGGUGGACGGCCACAUUGGGACUGAGAUACGGCCCAGACCUCUACGGGAGGCAGCAGUGGGGAAUAUUGCACAAUGGGCGCAAGCCUGCUGCAGGACGCCGCGUGGGGGAUGACGGCUCCGGGUUGUAAACUCCUUUCGUUAGGACGAACCGCGCUUUUUUGGG